AUUGAACGCUGGCGGCAGGCCUAACACAUGCAAGUCGAGCGGAUGAAGGGAGCUUGCUCCUGGAUUCAGCGGCGGACGGGUGAGUAAUGCCUAGGAAUCUGCCUGGUAGUGGGGGAUAACGUCCGGAAACGGGCGCUAAUACCGCAUACGUCCUGAGGGAGAAAGUGGGGGAUCUUCGGACCUCACGCUAUCAGAUGAGCCUAGGUCGGAUUAGCUAGUUGGUGGGGUAAAGGCCUACCAAGGCGACGAUCCGUAACUGGUCUGAGAGGAUGAUCAGUCACACUGGAACUGAGACACGGUCCAGACUCCUACGGGAGGCAGCAGUGGGGAAUCUUGGACAAUGGGCGAAAGCCUGAUCCAGCCAUGCCGCGUGUGUGAAGAAGGUCUUCGGAUUGUAAAGCACUUUAAGUUGGGAGGAAGGGCAGUAAGUUAAUCCCUUGCUGUUUUGACGUUACCAACAGAAUAAGCACCGGCUAACUUCGUG
rnacentral:rRNA from 1 species